AGAUGUUCAUUCGAGGAAUGUUGUUUCUCUAGUUAAUUGCUGUUAAUGUUAAUGCUAAUGCUAGAUCUUUCUUCCUUACUACGUUCUUCAAAUUGAACAAGAUAUUUAUAAGCAGCACAGAGAAGUAGCUUAACUAAAAAAAAAUUAAUGAAUGAAAAAAUAUCAAGUGUGCGCUAAACAGCUGCAGAGGUCUCAUCAUCUGCUCCUGUUGGUGAACCAGGUACAAAUGGUACAAAUCCUCGCCCACCAAACACUGGCCUCAUGAAUUUGUCGUCGAAUUUUCUCCACAAGUAGUGAACAGUUAUUGUGGGGUGAGCUAUUAGCAACCUUAGGCUACUUGCCCUUGGGGCUAUUUGAUUGUUGCCUUGCCCGCUUGAGUCACCAUUUUCAAAGAAAAGUUGCCUUAGGUCUUCUUCCAGACUUGGAAUAUCAGUUGCAUCUGAAACAUUUGUUUUUCUAUUUCUUAACAACACUGCUUCAAUUAGAGGUUUUGUCACAGAGCCACAGACCUGUUCCGAAAACAGAAAUGUCAUAUGCAUGUGCUAGUAUAAUGUUGUGCUAAUAACCAAGAUGGAUGCAAUUCAAAUAGAAUUCUUAGAGAUUAUGAUUCAAUGAAGACUUUAUUAAAAUAUUGGUCUUUGACUAAAACUAGACUUGUUAAAUUGGUCAUAUGUGCCACUGUUGAAGUGUUGAGCUCCUAAAAACUACUACUUAGUGUAGAACAAAGACAAGGAUUUAAAGAUAGAAUAAUCUAAGGGAUUUCAGAUAAACAAAACUUACAAUUGUACUGAAGAGAACAACGAUAAUGGUACAGGUGAUCAUUAGUGCAGAAUCUGAAGAACUGAUUUUCUUGGUGUUUGAAAACUGGUUAUAAGACAGAGCAAUAGUAACUGCACCUCUCAUUAGUCCUGCCCACCACAUAAUAAACUAUUGAUUUUGAAGAGUUAGCAACCUUUCUUUUUAGAACCACAAGACAAUAGCUAUUUUUUGGAUGCAUGUAAUCAUUACCUGUUGUUUAAAUUCAAUUUUGUUACUGUCUCUCUUUUGAAUACAAUUUAUAAAAUUUGCUAAAGGGAACACAAAUGCUGCCCUUCCAAUCAACACUAAUGCGAAGAAUGUUGCACUGAUGGUAACUGAAGUUGCUGCACUGAAUUUUGAAUGUGGAACAAAUUAGAUAUAACAUGUUCUAAUGUAAAAACUCUAGAGAAAUAAAUUAUAAUGGGUUAUGAACUAAUUUCCUGUAUGUAUACAUAGCAACACGCAUCACACUUCAGUUAAAUAUCAUGGCCAUUACUGAGGUUUAGUUAACCAUGCUGUGAAUCACUUAGCUUAUUGGAAAUAAGAACAGGUGCCAGAAAACAUCCAAGCCAGAAAUGUAUAAUUAACAGGUAGAAGAUUACCUUGCAUUGCUCCCUUUCCAUUUCUCAAUGUCGAAGGCAUCCAUACCAACAUACACAAAAAUAAAAGUUUCUGCAAUAAACGACAUUGUUGCAAAUGCAUGCUUGGUUGUUAUCCGAGAGCUUUCAGUAACAUUGUGCCAUGUGUAGUGUGACAUUACAAUGCCACAGAAGAAAACUGUCAAAAUCCCA
rnacentral:misc_RNA from 1 species